rfam:Candidatus Tremblaya phenacola PAVE, complete genome.
AAAUCGGAGAGUUUGAUCCUGGCUCAGAUUGAACGCUAGCGGCAUGCCUUACACAUGCAAGUCGAACGGCAACACGGGCUUAGGCUUGGUGGCAAGUGGCAAACGGGUGAGUAAUGCAUCAGAACAUGCCUCAGAGUGGGGGACAGCUAGGUGAAAGCCUAAUUAAUACCGCAUAAAGUUCUCUACCAAGCAGAAUGAAAGCAGGGGACCAAUUGCCUUGCGCUCUGAGAUUGGCUGAUGUCUGAUUAGCUUGUUGGAAAGGUAAUGGCUUCCCAAGGCAAUGAUCGGUAGCUGGUCUGAGAGGACGGCCAGCCACACUGGGACUGAGACACGGCCCAGACUUCUGAGGAAGGCAGCAGUGAGGAAUCUUGGACAAUGGGCGGAAGCCUGAUCCAGCAAUGCCGCGUGUGUGAAGAAGGCCUUUGGGUUGUAAAGCACUUUUGUUCGGAAAGAAAGCCACCCAACUAACAAUUUGGUGGUGUGACUGUACCGAAAGAAUAAGCACCGGCAAACUACGUGCCAGCAGCCGCGGUAAUACGUAGGGUGCGAGCGUUAAUCAGAUUUAUUGGGCGUAAAGGGUGUGCAGGCUGCCUGUUAAGAUUGCUGUGAAAGGCUGAGGCUUAACCUCAGAAUGCGGCAGUUACUGGCAGGCUGGAGUACGAGAGGGGGAGGUAGAAUUCCGCAUGUAGCAGUGAAAUGUGUAGAGAUGUGGAGGAAUACCGAAAGCGUAGGCAGCCUCCUGGUUCGUUACUGACGCUCAGACACUAAAGCAUGGGGAGCAAACAGGAUUAGAUACCCUGGUAGUCCAUGCCCUAAACGAUGUUGACUAACCAUUGGGCAGUUUUCCUUUUCAGUGGUGCAGCUAACGCACAAGUCGACCGCCUGGGGAGUACGGCCGCAAGGUUAAAACUCAAAGGAAUUGACGGGGACCCGCACAAGCAGUGGAUGAUGUGGAUUAAUUCGAUGCAACGCGAAAAACCUUACCUACCUUUGAUAUGGCUAAGAUCCUGUUGAGAAGCGGGAGUGCUUGAAAGAGAAUUAGUGCACAGGUGCUGCAUGGCUGUCGUCAGCUCGUGUCGUGAGAUGUUGGGUUAAGUCCUGUAACGAGCGCAACCCCUGUCUUUAAUUGCUACUGGAUUAGUCAGUUACCUUAAAGAGACUGCCAGCGAUAAGUUGGAGGAAGGUGGGGAUGACGUCAAGUCCUCAUGGCCUUUAUGGGUGGGGCUUCACACAUCAUACAAUGGCCGGACCAAAGAGUUGCCAACUUGCAAAAGGGAGCUAAUCUCACAAAGCCGGCCUCAGUUCGGAUUGUACUCUGAAACUCGAGUGCAUGAAGUUGGAAUUGCUAGUAAUCGUGGAUCAGCAUGCCACGGUGAAUAUGUUCUCGGGUCUUGUACACACCGCCCGUCACACCAUGGAAAUAAUUCUUGCCAGAAGUAACAGGCCUAACCUCUCUCAACCUGAUUUAAAAGUGUUUGGUGGUUUGAGUUGUGAGGAGGGCAGUUCCGAAGGUAAGGGUUGUGACUGGGGUGAAGUCGUAACAAGGUAGCCGUACUGGAAGGUGUGGCUGGAUUACCUUUUCC